rnacentral:rRNA from 1 species
AAUUGUGGACAAUGGGGGCAACCCUGAUCGAGCCAUCCCGCGUGUGCGAUGAAGGCCUUCGGGUUGUAAAGCACUCGUGGCAGGGCAGAAAGGGCGCUGGCUAAUACCUGGAGCUACUGACGGUAGCUGCAGAAUAAGCACCGGCUAACUACGUGCGAGCAGCCGCGGUAAUACGUAGGGUGCAAGCGUUAAUCGGAAUUACUGGGCGUAAAGCGUGCGCAGGCGGUUUGGUAAGAAGGGUGUGAAAUCCCAGGGCUUAACAUUGGAACUGCAUUCUUAACUGCCAGGCUAAAGUCUGUCAGAGGGGGGUAGAAUUCCACGUGUAGCAGUGAAAUGCGUAGAGAUGUGAAGGAAUACCGAUGGCGAAAGCAGCCCCCUGGGAUAAUACUAACGCUCAUGCACGAAAGCGUGGGGAGCAAACAGG